UACGUAGGGUGCGAGCGUUAAUCGGAAUUACUGGGCGUAAAGCGUGCGCAGGCGGUUUUGUAAGCCAGAUGUGAAAUCCCCGGGCUUAACCUGGGAAUGGCAUUUGGGACUGCAAGGCUGGAGUGUGGCAGAGGAGACUGGAAUUCCUGGUGUAGCAGUGAAAUGCGUAGAUAUCAGGAGGAGGUACCGAUGGCGAAGGCAGGUCUCUGGGCUGACACUGACGCUCAUGCACGAAAGCGUGGGGAGCGAAACAAG
rnacentral:rRNA from 1 species